rnacentral:lncRNA from 1 species
AGGGUAGGAAAAGGAUCGGAGAACUGAAACUUACUGAGCGCCUGCUGUUCGGCAGAUUGUUCAUCUAAUUUUCACACGGCUGGGAGGAUGUAGCAUAUGAGCUCCGUUAUCUUGGACGUUCUGAGAAGGUGUUCACAUUCCUAGAUUCUAAAUUUAAGAAGCCCAUGGUGGCGAUAUUUGGUUCCAGGUUUUUCUGAUUCCAGUGCCCAUUGCCUCUCUUUCUGCCAUGGGCUUGUUCUACCCAGAGAUGGUCAGUCCUUGCCCCAAACACACAUGUGAGCACCCUCCCCCUGCCAUAUUCAUACCAGUUGUUAUCUUCUCCUUGAUGUUAGUGCUUUGGAAGAAUGAAGAGAAGAACCAAAAAGGUCUUUACAAGCCGAUUUGCUUCUACUAAGGAGAUUUCGCUGGUUCACAUUAUACCUUUUAGAAACUAACUAUACCAAACAAACUCUAUUUCCUUUUUUGAAAGAAAUCAGGAAAAUGAAAGAAAUACUCUCUUUUGUAACCAUCUGGCAUCUUAAAAAAUAGCGAAAGCAGGUAGCAGUAAUGUGCAUAUUUUGUUUCACAUAAAGACUCUAAAAAUAAUGUUGCAGAAUGUAAUCUGGUAUUUUUAAAGUUUUUGAAUGAAAUAUAAUUAUAGUUUAAAUGAGAGAAGGUGGAGUACAUCUGUAAACUAUCCAUUAUUUUCCUUUAUAUCUGUAAAAGUCUUAUGGGAAAUAUGUUUUUUUUUUCCCAAUCAAAAACUUUGUUUUUAAGUAAAAGAAGGCAUGACCUUUUUGUAGCUAGAAUUGAAACUGUGCUGAAUAGACUAUUUCUACAGCCCAUGUACCAGCUAAAACAGCACGCAGGUCUUAAACUGUGUAUAUCUCACUGUUGGCUCUGACCUCAGGGCCUAGUUUAUACACAGUUACUCUAUUUGCAAGGAUGUAUACUGGAAUUUAUCUGUUUUUAUACACCUGUCUCUCUUGCUGGCCUGAGAACUAUUUGCGAGCAAAAAGUUAUUCAUUUUUAGAUCCCUAGAACCUAGCAAGUACUACAUCCUUACUAAAUGUUUGAUUGACUCUAUUAUAAUUGGAUGACAUAUUCAUCCAUGUCGUCUUCCAAAAAGAGGUUUUUUGUUUUGUUUUGUUUUGUUUUUUUAACGGCCGCACCCGGGGCAUUUGUAAGUUCCCUGGCCAGGGAUUGAAUCUGAGCUACACUUGCUGCAACUCUGGAUCUUUUAACCUACAGUGCCAGGCUGGGGUUCAAACCCGCACCCCUGCAGCAACCUGAGCCGCUGCAGUUGGAUUCUUAACCCACUGCACCAUGGUGGGAACUCCUUGUUGGUUUUGACUAGAGGAGAUGCUCUCAGCUUGGGAACCAGCAUGGAGUAGGUGAACUUCCAAGAACCUCUGUCCCAUAUGAUUUAAUCCGUCAACCUGCCUCUGACACGUGAACUAGACUUAUUUUUUUCUUUAUUUUAUUGAGAUGUAAUUGGCAUAUAAUACUGUGUAAGGGUAAGGUGUACAGAAUGUUGAUUUGAUGCUUUUAUAUAUUGCAGCAGGAUUACCUCCACCUGGGCAUCCCCAAACACCUCUAUCAAAUAAUCACCUUUGACAAAUCAAAUAACCAUUUUACUUCCUCCUUGAUGUUGACAAAUUCUUGGGAGUUCCCGUCGUGGCGCAGUGGUUAACGAAUCCGACUAGGAACCAUGAGGUUGCGGGCUCGGUCCCUGCCCUUGCUCAGUGGGUUAACGAUCCGGUGUUGCCGUGAGCUUGGUGUAGGUUGCAGACGCGGCUCGGAUCCCGUGUUGCUGUGGCUCUGGCGUAGGCCGGUGGCUACAGCUCCAAUUCAACCCCUAGCCUGGGAACCUCCAUAUGCCGAGGGAGCGGCCCAAGAAAUAGCAACAACAACAACAACAACAACAAAAGACAAAAG